CCUACGGGAGGCUGCAGUGAGGAAUAUUGGUCAAUGGACGCAAGUCUGAACCAGCCAAGCAGCGUGCAGGAAGACUGCUCUAUGAGUUGUAAACUGCUUUUAUACGGGAAUAAACUCAGAUACGCGUGUCUUUCUGAAAGUAUCGUACGAAUAAGGAUCGGCUAACUCCGUGCCAGCAGCCGCGGUAAUACGGAGGAUUCGAGCGUUAUCCGGAUUUAUUGGGUUUAAAGGGUGCGUAGGUGGUUUGUUAAGUUAGAGGUGAAAUCCCGAGGCUCAACUUCGGAAUUGCCACUGAUACUGGUAGCCUAGAGAGUAGUUGCGGUAGGCGGAAUGUAUGGUGUAGCGGUGAAAUGCUUAGAGAUCACACAGAACACCGAUUGCGAAGGCAGCUUACCAAGCUACCUCUGACGUUGAUGCACGAAAGCGUGGGUAGCAAACAGGAUUAGAUACCCGGGUAGUC
rnacentral:rRNA from 1 species